AGCGAACGCUGGCGGCAGGCCUAACACAUGCAAGUCGAACGAACUCUUCGGAGUUAGUGGCGGACGGGUGCGUAACACGUGGGAACGUGCCUUUAGGUUCGGAAUAACUCAGGGAAACUUGUGCUAAUACCGAAUGUGCCCUUCGGGGGAAAGAUUGAUCGCCUUUAGAGCGGCCCGCGUCUGAUUAGCUAGCUGGUAAGGUAAAGGCUCACCAAGGCGACGAUCAGUAGCUGGUCUGAGAGGAUGAUCAGCCACAUUGGGACUGAGACACGGCCCAAACUCCUACGGGAGGCAGCAGUGGUGAAUCUUGCGCAAUGGGCGAAAGACUGACGCAGCCAUGCCGCGUGAAUGAUGAAGGUCUUAGGAUUGGAAAAUUCUUUCACCGGGGACGAUAAUGACGGUACCCGGAGAAGAAGCCCCGGCUAACUUCGUG
rnacentral:rRNA from 1 species